UGUCUACGGGGGGCAGCAGUGAGGAAUACUGGUCAAUGGUCGGGAGACUGAACCAGCCAAGCCGCGUGAGGGAGGAAGGUACAGAGUAUCGUAAACCUCUUUUGUCAGGGAACAAAGGCGGGGACGUGUCCCCGGAUGAGUGUACCUGAAGAAAAAGCAUCGGCUAACUCCGUGCCAGCAGCCGCGGUAAUACGGAGGAUGCGAGCGUUAUCCGGAUUUAUUGGGUUUAAAGGGUGCGCAGGCGGGCUGUUAAGCCGGCGGUAAAAAUUCAGGGCUCAAACCU
rnacentral:rRNA from 1 species